UACGUAGGGUGCAAGCGUUGUCCGGAUUUACUGGGCGUAAAGAGCGCGCAGGCGGUCGGAUAAGUCGAAUGUGAAAGCCCCCGGCUCAACUGGGGAGGGUCAUUCGAUACUGUUCGACUCGAAGGCAGGAGAGGGAAGUGGAAUUCCCGGUGUAGUGGUGAAAUGCGUAGAUAUCGGGAGGAACACUAGUGGCGAAGGCGACUUCCUGGCCUGUUCUUGACGCUGAGGCGCGAAAGCUAGGGGAGCAAACGGG
rnacentral:rRNA from 1 species